rnacentral:RNase_P_RNA from 1 species
CCAGCCGGCCGGACGGCCGCUGCCGGAUCAGCGUGUGGCGAAACGGGCUCUAAAGGCUCGCGAGCAAAACGUCCGGUGGAGGAAAGUCCGGGCUCCCAGAGAACACGGUGGCGGCUAACGGCCGCCGGGGGCGACCCCAGGGAAAGUGCCACAGAGAACAUACCACCUCCGUGCCUUCGGGCCGGCGGUAAGGGUGAAAAGGUGCGGUAAGAGCGCACCGCGCUUCUGGCAACAGCAGCGGCAGGGCAAACCCCACCGGGAGCAAGAUCAAAUAGGGGUGGGCGCGCGGAGCGGGCAACCGCAGACGCAAGGCGCGUUCUCACGCUACCCGCCCGGGUUGAUUGCACGAGGCGUCUGGCAACAGGCGUCCCAGAUGAAUGGCCGUCGCGGAGGCGAAAGUCUCCAGACAGAACCCGGCUUACAGGCCGGCUGGUAUU